rnacentral:lncRNA from 1 species
AGAAUGGAUCAGCACAGAUCAGGCCAUGAGAAUAUCAGCACUUUAAUAACAGACAUUGGUGUGGCUGUCGGCAUUCCCGGAAGGUCCUCUCACUUCCGGCUCAGUAAGCAAUGACAGUGGCACCCACGGGACACGGGCAGGACAGAGUCCUGGGUCCUCAGAGCAGCAGCCCCAGCAGAACGAGGCCGGCAAGAGCCAAGGGGCUAAGGAAGGCUCUGGAGACAGAGUUGUCCUGGGUGGUGGGCUGGGAGGCGGGGGAGGUGGGGGCGUCUGUGCUGGAGUCAGCGCUCUGAUUGGAGGCGCGGGAGUCUAUGCUGAAGUCAGCGCUCGGAUCGGAGGCGCGGGAGUCUAUGCUGAAGUCAGCGCUCUGAUCGGAGGGGUCUCUACAUUCAACCUUUUGGAAGGCGAAUAUCCCAAUCCUCUGGUUUCCAGCAGACAGGAGCUGGCAGAUGGAGUUGCUGAUGUUGGAGCAGCCUUGCAGCACCAGCAUCUCAGUGGCUGUGGACGCAGGCAGACAGUCAGGGCUCCUGCUUCCCGCACCUCCACCCCGCCCAGCCUGCUCUUGGCUCCUGGCUGCAGGUGACAGUUUAGCGACCUGCAAGAGCUGGUCUGACGCUGAAA